rnacentral:lncRNA from 1 species
GAUGAUUACGUGACCAGCCCGGCUGUGCUGAAAAGCCUCGGCAUGCCGCUCAAAAGGCAACGCCUAAAGCCUGACGCUGUGCCCUCGGUCUUCUCACCAAAACGCAAGGCAGAGAGGAUCAGCGGCGCGUUUGAAAAGAGGAGGCGAAAAGAGAUCAUUGAUCAAAUAUUGGAACGAUCAACCACAGGAGAAGCCUGCCACAAAGAAGCUGUUCACAUUCAAGGUACGCAGUGCGAUGCUUGUGAAAUACAUACCCCUCCAAUUGAGCAGGAUCCAUUUGAAGAAGUCACUCAAGCAGUUUCCUGCGAACACAGUGCAGAAGCACCUACAAAUAGCAGGCAAAACAGUGAGCAUGAGGCACAUCAAGAAAAAUGCCCUGAAGCACUACACCAGCAAUUUCCACCAGAACCUCAUGCUGCCAAUGAAAGACAAAUUACACCAAAAGCACUUCAGGCUGAUGCAGCCGUUCAGACAUCAUUAAUCUGCAGAGACUGGGGAACACAGGUCAACAUCCAAGGGAAGUCCCGUAGUAUUUCAACUAACUGCUUUAUGCCACCGCGGUCUUCGACACGCUAGCCAGAUUUGGCAGAUGCAUCUGAAGCGGAAAUUGCUGACAAUGAAAACAGGAAUCGAAAUGAUCCUUCAUUUGUCCUCUCCGAUGUCAGUUUGGCUGAACACAGCACUGAUCACACAGCCGUGCCUCUUUAUGAAGAGAGGAAGUUCAUUGUUUUCGAAUCUAGUCUGGAUGAACUGCUCUCGGUCUGCCCUCUGUGUUCACGUCCGUGUAGAGCAAUUGAUAAAAAUAUGAAAGGAACAUUAUUGCAGGAUGCGAAGCUUCGAUGUUUUUUAGGGCACUCAGGAGGUGUGGGUGUCGCCUGCAGCAGUGACAAAACACACUUCAGAGUCCAAGAUGCAUUCCUCAUUCCUGCAGUCGCCAAGGUCUGGACACAACAACAAAAUGUCCUUUUUGAUGAAGCCAUUGGCCGUCCACUCCCGGCUGCUGGAGAUGGUAGGGCAGAUUCCCCUGGACUUUCCGCCAAGUAUGACACAUGCUCUUUUCUGGACAUAGAGCUGAA